rnacentral:rRNA from 1 species
CUGGCUCAGGACGAACGCUGGCGGCGUGCCUAACACAUGCAAGUCGAGCGGUUCGGCACUUAGCACAAGUUAAGUGUCGGAUAGCGGCGGACGGGUGAGUAACGCGUGGGCAACCUACCCUUAAGACCGGGAUAACACCUCGAAAGGGGUGCUAAUACUGGAUAAGGUCAUAAGGUGGCAUCACCAUAUGAAGAAAGGGGGAACCCGCUUAAGGAUGGGCCCGCGUCCCAUCAGCUAGUUGGUGAGGUAACGGCUCACCAAGGCGACGACGGGU